CCUACCAAGGCGACGACGGGUAGCUGGUCUGAGAGGAUGAUCAGCCACACUGGCACUGAGACACGGGCCAGACUCCUACGGGAGGCAGCAGUGAGGAAUAUUGCGCAAUGGGCGAAAGCCUGACGCAGCGACGCCGCGUGGGGGAAGAAGGUUUUCGGAUUGUAUACCCCUUUUAGGAGGAAAGAUGGGGUGGGUAACCACUCGGACGGUACCUCCAGAAAAAGCCACGGCUAACUUCGUGCCAGCAGCCGCGGUAAUACGAAGGUGGCGAGCGUUGUUCGGAUUUACUGGGCGUAAAGAGCACGUAGGCGGUUUAGUAAGCCCCUUGUGAAAUCUCCAGGCUUAACCUGGAACGGUCGAGGGGGACUGCUAGGCUAGAGGGCGGGAGAGGAGCGCGGAAUUCCCGGUGUAGCGGUGAAAUGCGUAGAUAUCGGGAAGAAGGCCGGUGGCGAAGGCGGCGCUCUGGAACGUCUCUGACGCUGAGGUGCGAAAGCGUGGGGAGCAAGCAGGAUUAGAUACCCUGGUAGUCCACGCCGUAAACGAUGGGUACUAAGUGUCGGCAGGUUACUGUCGGUGCCGCAGCUAACGC
rnacentral:rRNA from 1 species